GCAACUUGUGGUUGUUUCUCCACCCUGCCCCUGCAGGACUGCAUUUUAAGGAAAACACCAGCUCCUUGGUCUCCUCACCAUGGCUGCUCCUCCCCUGGUACCACCACUCAGGCUUAGCAGGGAAUUACCUGGUUACUACAGGGAUGAGAACCACAGACUCUGGAUGGUUGUAAGCCUGGGAUUUACUCCUGACCAUCCAACUCAUUACAGGCCUGGAGCCUUUAUCACUGUCAGAUUGUGGCAGGUGGAAGAAUGCUGCAAACAACUCCCAUCCCACUGCUUCUCAAGUUUGGCAUGUCUCCCCAGUAUGUGGCAGAAACAUUCUGUGUCUUCCUAUAAAGGGACAGAUUCAAUCUUCUGGGCAAUAGUGGAACAAGUCCAGGGUGGUGACAGACAAUGCCUGCUUCUAGAGAUGGAGAAAAUACUUGGGUGGUGACAGACAAUGCCUGCUUCUAGAGAUGGAGAACCUACUUGCAGGUAUGGAUGGGGACUCCAUGCCCUGUGGAUCUCUGAGCUGCCAAUGCUGGCUAGAAGUUGACCUGGUGCUGGGCAGAGGACUCUGUGCUCAGCGGCUUGAAGACACCAUGGGAUGUGUGCAGGAGCAUCUGGUGCACUUCUCCCACAGGCUCAGUACUUGGCUCCUAGAAGUGAUGCUGAC
rnacentral:lncRNA from 1 species